UACGUAGGUGGCGACCGUUAUCCGGAAUUAUUGGGCGUAAAGGAUGCGUAGAUGGUGUAGUAAGUUAUCGGUGGCAAAUCGAGGCUCAACCUCGUGGAAGUCGGUAAUACUGCUAUGCUAGAGGAUAGGAGAGGUUAACGGAACUCCCUGUGGAGCGGUGAAAUGCGUAGAUAUAGGGAAGAACACCAAUCAGGCGAAGGCAGUUAACUAUUCUAUUCCUGACAUUGAGGCAUGAAAGCGUGGGGAGCAAAACGG
rnacentral:rRNA from 1 species